rnacentral:lncRNA from 1 species
UUUACUGGGUGUCCUCAGGACUUGCCUCAAACUAAUAUUAAUGAUGUACAUUGAAUUGUUAAAUCAGCCUCCGAGACUCCAGCUUGCUAGCUUAUGCUUGCUAGCUAUAUUUGUUAGCAAAAAAUAAUUGUUAUUCAUGUCUUCUACACAGUAUCAAACAAAGAUACAUUGACAGGGGUGAUCACCGUGAGGGCUGCCUGUUACAGCUCCAUGAGGAAGAGUGAAAAGCCGCACAGCAUGAGAGGUGUGAAGCCAGGUUCCAGUUGAUGGGAUAGAGUUCCGUAAACCUACUAACUUGUGUGCUGAUGGAAUAAGAUUUAAGCACCAGCUGUCAGAGCAGGUCACAGAUCACUGCACUUGUACAUAGCUCAUCUGUAAAUAGCCCAUGCAAUCUACCUCAUCCCCAUACUGUAUUUAUUUAUUGAUCUUGCUCCUUUGCACCCCAGUAUCUCAACUUGCACAUUCAUCUUCUGCACAUUCUACCAUUCCAGUGUUUAAUUGCUAUAUUGUAAUUACUUCUCCACUGUGGCCUAUUUAUUGCCUUACCUCUCUUAUCCUACCUCAUUUGCACAUGCUGUAUAUAGAUUUUUCUACUGUAUUAUUGAUUGUAUGUUUGUUUGUUCCAUGUGUAACUCAGUGUUGUUGUAUGUGUCUGCUUUGCUUUAUCUUGGCCAG